UUGCCAUCAUUAAGUUGGGCACUCUAAGUUGACUGCCGGUGACAAACCGGAGGAAGGUGGGGAUGACGUCAAAUCAUCAUGCCCCUUAUGAUUUGGGCUACACACGUGCUACAAUGGACAAUACAAAGGGCAGCGAAACCGCGAGGUCAAGCAAAUCCCAUAAAGUUGUUCUCAGUUCGGAUUGUAGUCUGCAACUCGACUACAUGAAGCUGGAAUCGCUAGUAAUCGUAGAUCAGCAUGCUACGGUGAAUACGUUCCCGGGUCUUGUACACACCGCCCGUCACACCACGAGAGUUUGUAACACCCGAAGCCGGUGGAGUAACCAUUUGGAGCUAGCCGUCGAAGGUGGGACAAAUGAUUGGGGUGAAGUCGUAACAAGGUAGCCGUAUCGGAAGGUGCGGCUGGAUCACCUCCUUUCUAAGGA
rnacentral:rRNA from 1 species